UACGGAGGGAGCUAGCGUUGUUCGGAAUUACUGGGCGUAAAGCGCGCGCAGGCGGUUCUUCAAGUCAGAGGUGAAAGCCCAGAGCUCAACUCUGGAAUGGCCUUUGAGACUAGAGAACUAGGGUACGGGAGAGGUGAGUGGAAUUCCGAGUGUAGAGGUGGAAUUCGUAGAUAUUAGGAAGAACACCAGUGGCGAAGGCGGCUCACUGGUCCGGCAUUGACGCUGAGGCGCGGAAAGCCAGGGGAGCAAAGCAGGG
rnacentral:rRNA from 1 species